CAAUAGCGUAUAUUAAAGUUGUUGCGGUUAAAAGCUCGUAGUUGGAUUUCUGUUGAGGACGACCGUUCCGCCCUCUGGGUGAGUAUCUGGCUCGGCCUUGGCAUCUUCUUGGAGAACGUUGCUGCACUUGAUUGUGUGGUGCGGUAUCCAGGACUUUUACUUUGAGGAAAUUAGAGUGUUUCAAGCAGGCGCACGCCUUGAAUACAUUAGCAUGGAAUAAUAAGAUAGGACCUUGGUUCUAUUUUGUUGGUUUCUAGAGCUGAGGUAAUGAUUAAUAGGGAUAGUUGGGGGCAUUCGUAUUUAACUGUCAGAGGUGAAAUUCUUGGAUUUAUGAAAGACGAACUUCUGCGAAAGCAUUUGCCAAGGAUGUUUUCAUUAAUCAAGAACGAAAGUUGGGGGCUCGAAGACGAUUAGAUACCA
rnacentral:rRNA from 1 species